UCAAGAGGUCCUUCACAUCCCUUGUAAGUUGGAUUCCUAGGUAUUUUAUUCUCUUUGAAGUGAUUGUAUACACAUAAACUUAUGGACACAUGAGUGAUAGUCAAAUUUCAAUCACUAAUGUGGCAUGAGCACUGACCCACCAGAAUGGCCAUGGUAAUUCACCAUGGAGCAGUAUUGCAUCAUCCUGAGUGAGAGUGAAGAAGAAUUGAGGUAGAGGGAAACUGAUAGAUGUGUUUGAGAUUUUAAAAUUAUUUCUCAAACUUUUACACCAAAAUAUAUCCUGGUACAUGUGCAACUUCUAUGGCUCUGUCAGACUCAUUUAAUAGGAAACUACCCACAGAAGAAAAUAAGGAAAACGAAUUCUGUAGGUAGAGAAAUGUAAUGACUAAGAUUUUAAAUGUUAUGACUAAGAUACAUGUUUAGUUGAUAAAAAUUAAUAAAAAUAAGAAACUUUCCUUCCUAGGGCAGCAUAAGAUCAUUUCAGAAUGAAGAUGCUUUGGGAUCUGACUUCGGACUGUAAGAAUGACAAACUCUGAAUGGGUGCAAAGGUAGCAGAUGACCUUCAAAGGAUGGUGAGAUUAAAUUUACCUACACCUAGAGAAAUAAUUGGAGCACAUGUCUAUUUGGGCCAAGAGGAUAAAGGCCAGUAGAGGAAUCAGAUCAAAGAACUUCCUCAGGGAAGUGUGCAGAGAACUGGAGUGGACCUUCCCCUAGGAAGCUGCCCAAAACGAGAGUGCUGGAAAGCUGGCCGCAGUGAGGCACUUCAGAUCCCAAGGGUAUGCUGGGGAAGCUGCCACAGGUGGGAGCACUUGCUGCUGGACCCUAGGCACUGUUGAAACAACUGCACCAUCUGCAGGAGCCCAGCAAGAAAGAACUUGUUUGCAUCCCUGCUAGACAAAAACCUACAAGUUAACCUUUGCCCGUAUGGAGUUGUAAAACAGACCAGUUGAUAGAAAGAGAAGCCUGGUAAGUACUGCACUGAAAGAAUAUCCAGACAUUUAUUUUGCCUAUUUCUAAGUUCUGAAUAAUGUUUCUUAUACCCAUACUCUUAAUACUCUUAAUGUGGUAGUGUAUCCAUAGUCCUCCCUCUACACUCACUCCCUUAGUGAUCUCGCUCAGUCUUGUGGUUAUAAAUAACAUCAAUAUUCUCAUAAUUCCCAUGUUUAUAUCUGUAGUUUGGAUCUUUUUCUUGAAGACCCUUAUGUUCAACUGCCUGUGGCAUGAUGCACUUAGAUACCUACUGGGGAGUUUAAAUUAAACAUGUCUAAAACUAAAUUCUGUGUUAUGUUUUCCAUAAAAAGCCUACUCCACUCACAUCCCCCAGUAAUACCUACUCUAUCCUUCCAGAUGAUCACAAGUUAUCAGUACCUUAUUUUGUCGCACUCCAUAGGCGAUCCUACAGGAAGCACUAGUCCACCUUUGAUAUGCUUUGGACGUUUGUCCCCUUCAAAUCUCAUGUUGAAAUGUGAUUUGCAAUGUUGAAGGUGGGGCCUCAUGGGAGGUGAUUGGAUCAUGGGGGCAGAUCCAUCACGCAUGCUUUAGUACCACCCCGUUGGUGAUACGUGAGCUCUUGCUCAGUUAGUUCAUGGAGAUCUGGUUGUUUAAGAGUCUGAGACCUCCGUCUUCUCUCUCUCUUGCUCCCCAUUCUCGCCAUGUGAUGGGUUGGCUUCCUGUCGCCUUACAUCGUGAUUGUAAGCUUCCCGAAGCCCUCAGCAGAAGCCGAGCAGAUGUUGGCACCAUGCUUCUUGUACAGCCUGCAGAACUUGAAGAAACACUCCAUAUUAGUUUUCUGGAGCCAUCGUUAUGAAGCAACACAGACUGGGUGGCAUAAACAAUGGAGAUUUAUUUUUUCACAAUUCCGGAGGCUAGAAGUUUGAGAUCAAGGUGUUGGAAAGUGUCUCAGGAUGAUACAUACCGGUUUUUAACUUUGGUGUCAUCAAAUGCAAUUGCAAUGUGACUGUUUCUUGAAAGCCCGAACUGCUUGCUCCCUAUCAAAAGAGCUGGUUCUGAUUCUGCAGCACAAGGACCCUGUAAAAUACCCAGGAGAGAAAAACAGGAGAUUAUGGACUGUUCUUUAAAAAGGAAGAAGAACACCUCCUGGAUUAGAUCCUC
rnacentral:lncRNA from 10 species